rnacentral:rRNA from 1 species
UGGGGAAUAUUGCACAAUGGGCGCAAGCCUGAUGCAGCGACGCCGCGUGAGGGAUGGAGGCCUUCGGGUUGUGAACCUCUUUCGCCAGUGAAGCAGGCCUGUCCCUUGUGGGUGGGUUGACGGUAGCUGGAUAAGAAGCGCCGGCUAACUACGUGCCAGCAGCCGCGGUAAUACGUAGGGCGCGAGCGUUGUCCGGAAUUAUUGGGCGUAAAGAGCUCGUAGGCGGCUGGUCGCGUCUGUCGUGAAAUCCUCUGGCUUAACUGGGGGCUUGCGGUGGGUACGGGCCGGCUUGAGUGCGGUAGGGGAGACUGGAACUCCUGGUGUAGCGGUGGAAUGCGCAGAUAUCAGGAAGAACACCGGUGGCGAAGGCGGGUCUCUGGGCCGUUACUGACGCUGAGGAGCGAAAGCGUGGGGAGCGAACAGGAUUAGAUACCCUGGUAGUCCACGCCGUANACGUUGGGCACUAGGUGUGGGGGGCCUUUUCCGGGUUUUCCGCGCCGUAGCUAACGCAUUAAGUGCCCCGCCUGGGGAGUACGGCCGCAAGGCUUAAACUCAAA